GAUGAAGAACGUAGCGAAAUGCGAUAAGUAGUGUGAAUUGCAGAAUUCAGUGAAUCAUCGAAUCUUUGAACGCACAUUGCGCCCUUUGGUAUUCCUUAGGGCAUGCCUGUUCGAGCGUCAUUUAAACCUUCAAGCUCAGCUUGGUGUUGGGUGACUGUCCGCCGCCUCCGGGCGCGUGGACUCGCCUCAAAAUUAUUGGCGGCCGGUACAUUGGCUUCGAGCGCAGCAGAAACGCGAACUCGGGCCCGUCGUAUUGGCUCCCAGAAGCUAUCUUCACAAUUUUGACCUCGGAUCAGGUAGGGAUACCCGCUGAACUUAAGUAUAUCAAUAAGCGGAGGA
rnacentral:misc_RNA from 1 species